rnacentral:rRNA from 1 species
UACGGAGGGGGCUAGCGUUGUUCGGAAUUACUGGGCGUAAAGCGCACGUAGGCGGCUUUGUAAGUUAGAGGUGAAAGCCUGGAGCUCAACUCCAGAAUAGCCUUUAAGACUGCAUCGCUUGAAUCCGGGAGAGGUGAGUGGAAUUCCGAGUGUAGAGGUGAAAUUCGUAGAUAUUCGGAAGAACACCAGUGGCGAAGGCGGCUCACUGGACCGGCAUUGACGCUGAGGUGCGAAAGCGUGGGGAGCAAACAGG